CAAAUGCUGAGGUCUUUUGCUAUGAUUUUAAUUCAAAUCACAGAUGAGUUCUGCUGAUACUUGGUUUUUCAGUUUAAACACACUGCUUUUUUUUUGCUAAUUUCUUUGGUAGGCACUGUACCUAAUUGUUAAAGGAACAGGCUUUUAUAGGCUGGGAGGUAGAAGGAAGUAAUGGAAAUGGUGUAUUUAUUCCAUUAUUUAUUCCAUUGCAGUCUUACUUUAGUUUCACACAUUAAAAAUGUAGAAGGGUCACAUCCUAAGACUAGAUUUUCUGAUCAUAUCAGAAAACCAGAGCUCAAACAUGCGUAGUUUCUUUAACAGCAGAAAUUAAUUGCAAAUACAGUUGUUCUUCUUGCAGAAACAUCCAGACACAAAAAAAAAAAAAAAAAAAAAAAAAAAAAGUCUUGCCUUGCUUUUCUCACUCUUCAUCUUGAAAGUUAUCACAGUUAUCACUAAGGCUGUAGGAUAUAUCUUAAAAAAUUCUAAAAUUCAGCCUGACAUCCUUUAAAAAAUAUUUUAACCAAGUAAUUACUGUGAAUUUCAAAUCCAUUUGCUAGAAUUUCAAGAGAUUACCUACUUUUCUUAUUGCUCUCACGCCUAGAGAAGCUUCCCUAACCUGAUGCCGUAUCUGAGGAAUAUAUGUGUGGAGAAGUGACUGUGUGCCAGAGACCCCUGUGCACAUUCAUAAGUGGGAAGGUAAAACUCCUAAUACUUGACACCACACAAAAAUACAAAGAUAUUUCUCCAAUGGCAAAGUACUUGUGGUCUCUCUUCGUCUGUUGCUAGGAGACCUGUUUAAGAAUUAAUCAGGGAAACAUCACAAAUGCUGCUAAAUCAUGCACCACACUACAGAUUGAGCUGCUCCAAAGAGAUGAGAAAACUUGCUUUUUCUGUUAACCCGGCACAGACUGGUAUGCAGCACAAUUUCCUUCAGCAAACAGAUGUCUCGAACACCUUGGAGUAUGCCCAUUCUCACUCCUGGUCCUUCUUCUUUCCAACCAGUAAUUGUUCCAGCAUCCAAAGAGAUAAAAAGGCAUUAAAGACUACCUUUCCGCGCACAAUGACAUAUGUCUUGAGACCGCUGAUGGCAAGCCGGGACUGGAAGGGAACACCUGCUUCCUACAGGCCAGGCCCCCACUUCGACAAGUGCAUUGCGUCUUCCACACAGUGACGAACUUCUUAAAGAAAGUUAUAUUUGCUGAAGAUAAACUCUUUUUGCCAAGUAAGUCCAUUAAAAAGUGAACAGAACUCUCAUUGCAGUUCCCAGUGAGCUUCUGAAGAGCAUUACAUUUUUCCCCAAUGCUAGUGGGGACAUGGUGUUUUUUUUUUGGGGGGGGGGGAGUGCUGAUGCAGUCAGGUAGGUAGCCUAUGUCUGUGCCAGAGCACCUUUAAUCUGUGUUACCCCAGAUUUUGUGACAAAAUAUGAGAAUGUGGGGCACUGAGCUCCUGAAGUGUGGCUUGUCUUUGGGGCUGGAGCCUCAUAUCUCUGCAGACAUUUAGGGAGACAUAGAUCUGGUGCAAAUGGAAAUCAGAAGAAUAUAAUGCAUUGGAAAAGACUGGCUCUAAUACUGCCUAAGUUGUAGUGAUACCCCUGAGGGCUGUACAGGACACCUCCUAUGCAUCCAGUGCACCAAGGCAGUGGCAGCAUGGGCCUGACACAUUCUCUGCACUGGAAGAAAUAAGGUUCAGAAAGAUUUUGCCAGCAGAAGUAAGACUGGUUGGAAUAGACCCCUCUAUGCCCAAGGAAAGAGCUACCUCUGCUACAGACCAUAUUUAAUUUAAAUGUUGUUAGCAAUGUGUAUAUUACAUUUGUACACUAUAUCAUAGCAUGGUACUAUGAAUAAAUAUGAAGACAUAAACA
rnacentral:lncRNA from 1 species